GUGAUGUAGCAAUACAUCACCUAGAGUGUCGUAAGGGUGCGUAACAAGUAUGCAAUCUGCCCUCAACAGGAGGAUAGCUCCCCGAAAGGGGAAUUAACACUCCAUAAGAUUGUGGAACGGCAUCGUUCAGCAAUUAAAACUACGGUGGUUGAGGAUGAGCAUGCUUCUGAUUAGCUAGUUGGUGGUGUAAUGGACCACCAAGGCGAUGAUCAGUAGGGGAACUGAGAGGUUGAUCCCCCACACUGGCACUGAGAUACGGGCCAGACUCCUACGGGAGGCAGCAGUAGGGAAUAUUGGUCAAUGGGUGAGAGCCUGAACCAGCCAUGCCGCGUGCAGGAAGACGGCCUUCUGGGUUGUAAACUGCUUUUACCGGGGGAUAAAAUUCCCAUGCGUGGGACAUUGAAGGUACCCGGUGAAUAAGCCACGGCUAACUACGUGCCAGCAGCCGCGGUAAUACGUAGGUGGCAAGCGUUGUCCGGAUUUAUUGGGUUUAAAGGGUGCGUAGGCGGCUUUUUAAGUCAGUGCUGAAAUAUCCCGGCUUAACCGGGAGGGUGGCAUUGAUACUGGAAGGCUUGAGUGAAGUCGAAGUAGGCGGAAUUGACGGUGUAGCGGUGAAAUGCUUAGAUAUCGUCAAGAACACCGAUAGUGUAGACAGUUUACUAGGCUUUAACUGACGCUGAGGCACGAAAGUGUGGGGAUCAAACAGGAUUAGAUACCCUGGUAGUCCACACUGUAAACGUUGAUUACUCGAUGUUGGCGAUACACAGUCAGCGUCUUAGCGCAAGCGGUAAGUAAUCCACCCGGGGAGUACGCCGGCAACGGUGAAACUCAAAGGAAUUGACGGGGGUCCGCACAAGCGGUGGAGCAUGUGGGUUAACUCGAUGAUACGCGAGGAACCUUACCUGGGCUAGAAUGCU
rnacentral:rRNA from 1 species